UUUCCUGAGUUUACACUGUACAGGUCUCGGUGCAGUGCAAGAUUAUACAAUUUGGGGUUUGCACCCCAGAGAGGCUGUGCACUUGAGUGCUGGGCAACUCUGUAGCUGAAGCCUUCCCAGGCAGAGCUGAUCUCAGUGUCUGUGUCUCUCUGCAGCUGGGUGUGUCCCUACCUGUGUGUGAUGGAGGAGGUUUGAGGGCCUGGCUCAGCAGGACUGCGUGAGGGAGCCCAGGCGGGUGGAACCGGCGGGCUCAAUGGUACCCCAGAACAUCAAGUGCAACCCAGAGAAGGGGGCAACCCAUCACAGUUGCUACACUUAAAUGUGUCUCCUGACGACGUGCUGACAAUGAGGAAGCCAGGAGAGAGAUGGGGGUGCCUUGAGGUGUUUGUCCCUCCUUUCUAUAGUUUCAGUCACCCUCUC